rnacentral:rRNA from 1 species
UACGUAGGGGGCGAGCGUUGUCCGGAUUUAUUGGGCGUAAAGAGCGUGUAGGCGGCCAGGUAGGUCUGCUGUGAAAACUCGAGGCUCAACCUCGAGACGUCGGCGGAAACCAUCUGGCUAGAGUCCGGAAGAGGAGAGUGGAAUUCCUGGUGUAGCGGUGAAAUGCGCAGAUAUCAGGAAGAACACCGGUGGCGAAGGCGCCCGCUGGGCAGGAAGACACCGCAAGGUGUCGGCUGACGCUGAGGCGCGACAGCGUGGGGGAGCAAACAGG